ACCUGGUUGGCUCAGUCAGUUAAGCAUCUGACUUUGGCUCAGGUCAUGAUCUCGCAGCUAGUGAGUUCGAGUCCCACAUCAGGCU
rnacentral:tRNA from 1 species